rnacentral:tRNA from 1 species
GCUCCGGUGGUGUAGUCCGGUCAAGCAUCAGGGGCUCAAGGAUUAAACCUGCCCACUCGCCCCCUAGAUUACUAAAAUAAGGGGAGACUCGGGUUCAAAUCCCGACCGGAGCA